GUGACCUCAAAUCAGGUAGGACUACCCGCUGAACUUAAGCAUAUCAAUAAGCGGAGGAAAAGAAACUAACAAGGAUUCCCCUAGUAACUGCGAGUGAAGCGGGAAAAGCUCAAAUUUAAAAUCUGGCAGUCUGACUGUCCGAGUUGUAAUCUAGAGAAGCGUCAUCCGCGCUGGACCGUGUACAAGUCUCCUGGAAUGGAGCGUCAUAGAGGGUGAGAAUCCCGUCUUUGACACGGACUGCCAGGGCUUUGUGAUGCGCUCUCAAAGAGUCGAGUUGUUUGGGAAUGCAGCUCAAAAUGGGUGGUAAAUUCCAUCUAAAGCUAAAUAUUGGCGAGAGACCGAUAGCGAACAAGUACCGUGAGGGAAAGAUGAAAAGAACUUUGGAAAGAGAGUUAAACAGUACGUGAAAUUGCUGAAAGGGAAACGCUUGAAGUCAGUCGCGUUGACUAGGGAUCAACCUUGCUUUUGCUUGGUGUACUUUCUGGUUAACGGGUCAGCAUCAGUUUUGAUUAUUGGAAAAAGAUCAAGGGAAUGUGGCAUCUUCGGAUGUGUUAUAGCCCUUGGUUGCAUACAAUGAUUGGGAUUGAGGAACUCAGCACGCCGCAAGGCCGGGUUUAACCACGUACGUGCUAGAUG
rnacentral:rRNA from 2 species